ACUAACUGGAGGACCGAACCGACUAAUGUUGAAAAAUUAGCGGAUGACUUGUGGCUGGGGGUGAAAGGCCAAUCAAACCGGGAGAUAGCUGGUUCUCCCCGAAAGCUAUUUAGGUAGCGCCUCGUGAAUUCAUCUCCGGGGGUAGAGCACUGUUUCGGCAAGGGGGUCAUCCCGACUUACCAACCCGAUGCAAACUGCGAAUACCGGAGAAUGUUAUCACGGGAGACACACGGCGGGUGCUAACGUCCGUCGUGAAGAGGGAAACAACCCAGACCGCCAGCUAAGGUCCCAAAGUCAUGGUUAAGUGGGAAACGAUGUGGGAAGGCCCAGACAGCCAGGAUGUUGGCUUAGAAGCAGCCAUCAUUUAAAGAAAGCGUAAUAGCUCACUGGUCGAGUCGGCCUGCGCGGAAGAUGUAACGGGGCUAAACCAUGCACCGAAGCUGCGGCAGCGACACUGUGUGUUGUUGGGUAGGGGAGCGU
rnacentral:rRNA from 1 species